GGUUCGCUCGCGCGAUGAAUAGUAAAACCCCUCUCCUCUCCCCCUCCCCGGUUCCUCCGCGGCUCCGCCUACCGCUCGCCAGUCCCUUGCAUCUGCUGUGCCGGCGACGCGCUCCACUCCGACCCCGCCGCCUCGCUCCCUCUCUGAGCUCGCCGCCGCGCUCCCCGCCGACCCCGCAGCGUCCCCUCCGACCCCGCCGCCGCACUCCCUCUCCGACCCCGCCGCCGCGCUAGCCGCCGACUGACCGCGGCCACCGCUGCCUGCGCGACUCGUCGGCAGCAACGUAAAGGAGGUCAUCUUCAACAACCUCCUGUUCGAGGUCAGCCCCACCAGUUCCCUUGUAUCCUUCCUCCUCUUCUCCCAUCCCAACCGUGAAAAGCACGUUUUUUUUUUGGGAGGGGGAGCGGGUGGGGGCUGAUGUUGGGUAUUCCUGGGAAUACCCAGGAAUCACUGCAGCUCCGCCCCUGGGAACCAUUAGAUCAUGCUGUUGAACCACCACCAAAAUCGGGUAUUGGAGAAAACAGAUCAUCUAUGAAACUACGGAGCAGGAAAAAGACACAGAAAGAUGGGACACCUAAGCAUACAAAUGACUAUUUUGAUGAAGACUGUGUUGAACCUUCAUUAGUUGAAGAAGAUAAUGAUAGCGGUGAUGAUUACACUGCCGGUACUAAUCGGAAGGUUAGGAAAAAAUCAAGGGAUGAUGUAGAAGAGCCACAACAGCAAAAUGUCCAAAAAGAUAAAAGCCAGGUAUCUUCACGGGGCCGCAAGAGAACCUUGAAAGAUGCAUCAGCAGAAAAAACAGAGAAGAAGCUUACCCAUAGAAUUCGCCAGGGGAGAGCGAAAGAGGUUAAGUCUUUACUGGAAAUACCUCAUGACGAGAUAAAUCCUAUGAAGCUAAGUGCAGCACACCUGAGGUUGUUACAAGAGGCCAGAGAGCGUGUUAAUGCAAAAGAGAAUCCAUCCGGCCCAUCCUCUAAUACAAGCAGCUUUCAAUUUCAUGAUAUGGAUGGUUUGGACUAUGGAGAUGAGGAAGGAAGGAACUUCGACAAUGACAGAACAGAGAACCAUGUACAAAAUAUAAAAAAAUUGAACUACCAUUCCUACAUGAACAAACAAACUCGAGGCAAAUGGUCAAAAUCUGAUACUGAUGUGUUUUACCAGGGGCUUCGACAAUUUGGUAGCGAUUUUGCAAUGAUACAGCAAUUACUCCCUGAUAAGACCCGUCAGCAGGUGCGGGCAAAAUUUAAAACUGAGGAGAAAAAAAAUCCGUUGCUAGUCCAUGAUGCUAUAAUUCAUCGCUCAGGAGAUAAUUUGUAUUUCAAAAAGGUAAUUAAGAAUCUCAACAUUGAAGAUGUCGCGCAGCAAGAGGUUAACAAUACUCAUAAACAAGAUGGCGCAUCAAGUGAACGAGGCCCUGAAAAAGAGGAUGUACUGGAUGAUUUCAUCCAUGAGGAAGAUGAUUCGAAUUGGUUGGAUGAAGAGCCCAGCAUACAAAUGCCUGAUGUGCAAGAUGAGCACGCUUCUGGAAAUGAUGAUGAUGAUGGUGAUCUUGAUGAUAUUUUUGAUUGGUACUAGCAUGAUAAUCACGACAGAAAUUAGGAUCACGAUCUAAUUCUGCUUACUUUGAGGUACUGUAGAAAUUUUUUUAGGAAGGUCCCGAAGAAAACGAGCCACGCCGUAGGCAGUGGCGCGUGCUCCGAAGCCAGUAGACGAGUCCGCGCGCCCGUUGUGCGAUCCGCUUCCGUUCGUCGUCGGCGUCGGGGAUCCGAUACGCGCGGGGGCGAUUUGCUUCCUGCGCGACAAAUCUCGCGCCAAAUCCCCCUCCAAACGCCAAUGAAAUACCCCCCAAAUUCCCCAUCGGCCAAUCCCUAGCUGCAGAGAAGCGAGCAGCGGCUGCGGCAGCGGCAGCGGCGGCGCAGGAGCUGCUCAAGGCAGAUGCGCAGCGGGAGCUGAGGGCCAAGGCGGCGGCGCAGAAGCGGAAGACCACGGGGGGACCUGCUGCGGCGGCACCGGAGAUGAAGCGGAAGGCCACGGGAGGAGCUGCGGCGGCGCCGGAGCAGAUGAGUUCUGGCCGCGCCGGCCAUGCGCUGGAGCAGAACGGAACAAGUUCAUCUUUGGCAUGUACUCCUCCGAUUUCAGUGAUCGACGGAAGUUGCUUCUUCAAUGGUGCUGGCAGCUUCUUCGGCAACAGCCCUUUGUCUCAACCAUGGAUGCUAUCUUCAGAUCCUGCAACAUGCCAAUGUCGCCUGGUGAUCACUCUGGCCUAGGCGAUGGUGAUUCUACUCCCCCUGAUGGUGAUCAAGCUCUCCGUGGUGAAGAUCAUUCCCUAGGCGCUGAUUCACCACCUUUGGAGCCUGAAGACAUGGAGGUACUACCAUUAUUCUGGUUAUGUGUGGCUUCACAAGAUGUGAAAUAUAGCAGCAAGAACAGUGAUUUUUUUUCGCUAAUACCGUGAACUGAAAUUUGGGCAUGCAGCAUGUACUUGUAUUUAUUACAUAUAAUUAGCCUUUGGUGGGUAAAGUAUCCCUCGACAACGAGGUGUGUAUGUGACAUGUUUCACAUAUAUGCCCAAGACUUAAAUUCAACAUAGAGAUCAAGUAUAAGACCAAAAAAAAAAAGGGAGGCAACUAUGUAGAGGCCUUUCCUUGUAGUGCUAA